rnacentral:misc_RNA from 1 species
AUACCUAACCAUCAAUGGGUCUUUCCCAAUAGUCUUUGCUAUGUGCUCCAUUAUGUUUUCUAUCAUAGCUACAGCUUCUGUCGAACCUGUCAAUUAGAAAAUUUAAUUUUAGGGAGGUGAACAAUAACCACACUGGGAGCCAUUUUUGCCUGCUAAUGCUGCUUGCAGGGUAUGAUAGCCUUCUUGCUUAUUACCCAAACCUUCAAUCGUCUUAAUAGCCCAGCUGCAUUAAAAAAGAAUGUUAAAAUGAGAUCUAAAAAAAUCAAAACUGGUACCAAGCAAGAGUUCACAGACAUUGUCUCACCUUUGACUUCCACUGACACAAUGCAAGC